rnacentral:rRNA from 1 species
UACGUAGGGCGCAAGCGUUAUCCGGAAUUAUUGGGCGUAAAGAGCUCGUAGGCGGUCUGUCGCGUCUGGUGUGAAAACUCAAGGCUUAACCUUGGGCCUGCAUCGGGUACGGGCAGACUAGAGUGCGGUAGGGGAGACUGGAAUUCCUGGUGUAGCGGUGAAAUGCGCAGAUAUCAGGAGGAAUACCGGUGGCGAAAGCGACUCUCUGGGCGGCAACUGACGCUGAGGCACGAAAGCGUGGGGAGCAAACAGG